UACGAAGGGGGCUAGCGUUGCUCGGAAUCACCGGGCGUAAAGGGUGCGUAGGCGGGUCUUUAAGUCAGGGGUGAAAUCCUGGAGCUCAACUCCAGAACUGCCUUUGAUACUGAGGAUCUUGAGUUCGGGAGAGGUGAGUGGAACUGCGAGUGUAGAGGUGAAAUUCGUAGAUAUUCGCAAGAACACCAGUGGCGAAGGCGGCUCACUGGCCCGAUACUGACGCUGAGGUGCGAAAGCGUGGGGAGCAAACAGG
rnacentral:rRNA from 1 species